GCUAUCCUGGAACCCACUUUACAGACAAGGCUGACCUCCAGUUCAAAGAGCUUGCCUCUGCCUCUUGAGUGCUGGGAUUAAAGGCAUGGGCCUCUACACCCGACUUUAGAUUGCCUUUCCUAAUGUCCCUGUGAUAAUUAUUGGAUAUUGUACACUCUGCAGUGUGCACUUAUCACAUUGGGCAUGAAAAAAAGAUGCCAAGAUGAGGAUUUUUGCCUGCAAAGACCAAGCUCCCAUUUAUUGUUAGCAGUUAUGUGGCACUGAGUACACCCUAUCAAAUACCCUGGGAAAGUUGGUCAUUCCCGAAGCUUGUGCUGCUGGCCUGGUCUUCAGAGGGGGUUCUACUAUCAGACACUGACAUCUCCUCGUCCACACCUCCUGGCUCCAGUGAAUAUGGAGAAACCUAACUCAGGUGGUCACAGAAUGAACACAGACCCACGGUCACCUCAAAUCCAAGUUUAAAAAGCCACCUUCAUUAGCUACCUCUCUUCGAUUUCAAGCCAAAGAGACACAUUCCAAACUUUUCUCCUCUUUCCACCCAACAAGUCUUAAACUGUCAUCGUGACAGCUGAAUCUCCUCUCCUUUACUCACUUCCUAUCCACCACUAUCCUCAGCCUGUAUCUUCAGUCAGCCCCUUAUCUCCCCCCAUCCCUUGUAACAAGGCAUUUGCCUUCUGUAGAUUCUUCACCCAGCCGCAGGUUUGAGUUUUUCUUUUUACUUACAAAUAGGAGCAUGGGGUUGCUCUGCUCAGGGUAAAGUCCAAACUGUAGUUGAAAAAGUCUUUUACAAUGUCAAGUCUGCUAUUUCUUUCCAUUUCUCUGCCUUGUUCUCCAGUUAGUCACUCAUUCCUUCAUUCCUUGAUUCACACAGCCAUCUUGUUCUGGGAUACCAAAGAUGCAAGUGAUCAAACAGAUAAACAAAAUGGAGUUCAUUCCCCUUGUGGGGUAUUCAAGGGUGGGUAAGUGGGUGAGUGAAUGAGUUAAGAUUCUGAGUCUCCUACUGAUUCAUCUAAUGCUUCUAAACUUCCAGGUCCACAGUGCUAGGCUAAAGCAUCUUCAUGGGAUCAAAUCAGCCUUCUAGAGACGAUGCUUUUCUAUCUAUCGCAUGCUUUCUGUUCCCGGCACUGCUUAAAGUACUUUAUACAUUGACUUGUUGAAUCUGUAAAAUAAUCUGUCUGUAAGUUAAUGCUGUCACUGCUGUCUGCUUGCUGUGCUGGAGGUGUGUGACCUGGCUGGCCUCAGCAGCAGGUGUCAUGUUGAAAGAUUUAUUACAGGAUAAAGCAAAUGAGUUAAAAAUGUCUUCACAUGGUGAAGAGCUGUGGUUGUCAAUGGGGAAGAGGAGUCCUAAAAAUAAUGAAAGAAGGAAGGCUAAAAGACUCUGAUGGAACAGAUUUAAUUUCAGAACUUGGCAUGGUGGCUCAAUCUAUAAUCCGAACACUUGGAAGAUGGAGACAGGAAGAUCAGGAGUUCAAGAUCAGUCUGGACUGCAUGAUAUACCCUGUCUCUAAAACGGAGAGAAGACUAAAGGCCUGAUGAGGAUUUACCCUGCUGUCUUGUUAACCUUGAGAAGACGGUGUAAGACAGAGUAUUCCUGGACAGGGAAUGCAGCCUUAGGUUCCAACCCCAGGACCACAUAAACCAAGCAUGGUGGCAUACACCUGCCAUCCUGGUACUCAGGAGGAGAUGAGGGAUCCAAAAUACAAAGUGAUUAGAAGCUACUUAGGAUCAGUCUGGGCUGCCUGAGACUAGGGAAAGAAAGAACAGAGGGGAGGGAGGAAGUGCACAGGAAAAGAAAUGGGAAAGGUGGGGAAGGAAAAAAGAGAAAAGGUUCUCCCUGUACGAUGUAGAGAUUUGAACAGCAUUAGUGAAAGCUACUCCCUUGAUAUCAGAGAGAUGCCAUGCUUAGGCUGGGGAAUUGACAGAAAAAAUAUAAACCAAUGGCCAGGAUAGAAAAAGUAUUAGAUAUUGUUGUUAUUCAAAUAUCGCUCUCUCCCCCCCAUCCCCCCACCCCACCCCCAUCAGAAUAAAAGACUUCCUGCAUUGGGAACAACUGUAAA